UACGUAGGGUGCGGGCGUUAAUCGGAAUUACUGGGCGUAAAGCGUGCGCAGGCGGUUAUCUAAGCCAGACGUGAAAUCCCCGGGCUUAACCUGGGGACUGCGUUUGGGACUGGAUGGCUGGAGUGUGGCAGAGGGGGGUGGAAUUCCACGUGUAGCAGUGAAAUGCGUAGAGAUGUGGAGGAACACCGAUGGCGAAGGCAGCCCCCUGGGCUAACACUGACGCUCAUGCACGAAAGCGUGGGGAGCAAACAGG
rnacentral:rRNA from 1 species